CCUGGGUCUGUACAUAGUCAAUGGUAGGCUUGGAGGGGACUCCUAUGGUCAGUACACCUAUAGCUCUGUUACAUCCUGGGUCUGUACAUAGUCAAUGGUAGGCUUGGAGGGGACUCCUAUGGUCAGUACACCUAUAGCUCUGUUACAUCCUGGGUCUGUACAUAGUCAAUGGUAGGCUUGGAGGGGACUCCUAUGGUAGGUACACCUAUAGCUCUGUUACAUCCUGGGUCUGUAUAUAGUCAAUGGUAGGCUUGGAGGGGACUCCUAUGGUCAGUACCCCUAUAGCUCUGUUACAUCCUGGGUCUGUACAUAGUCAAUGGUAGGCUUGGAGGGGACUCCUACUCCUAUACUCCUAUAGCUCUGUUACAUCCUGGGUCUGUACAUAGUCAAUGGUAGGCUUGGAGGGGACUCCUAUGGUCAGUACACCUAUAGCUCUGUUACAUCCUGGGUCUGUACAUAGUCAAUGGUAGGCUUGGAGGGGACUCCUAUGGUCAGUACACCUAUAGCUCUGUUACAUCCUGGGUCUGUACAUAGUCAAUGGUAGGCUUGGAGGGGACUCCUAUGGUCAGUACACCUAUAGCUCUGUUACAUCCUGGGUCUGUACAUAGUCAAUGGUAGGCUUGGAGGGGACUCCUAUGGUCAGUACACCUAUAGCUCUGUUACAUCCUGGGUCUGUACAUAGUCAAUGGUAGGCUUGGAGGGGACUCCUAUGGUCAGUACACCUAUAGCUCUGUUACAUCCUGGGUCUGUACAUAGUCAAUGGUAGGCUUGGAGGGGACUCCUAUGGUAGGUACACCUAUAGCUCUGUUACAUCCUGGGUCUGUAUAUAGUCAAUGGGCUUGGAGGGGACUCCUACGGUAGGUACACCUAUAGCUCUGUUACAUCCUGGGUCUGUACAUAGUCAAUGGUAGGCUUGGAGGGGACUCCUAUGGUCAGUACACCUAUAGCUCUGUUACAUCCUGGGUAUGUACAUAGUCAAUGGUAGGCUUGGAGGGGACUCCUAUGGUCAGUACACCUAUAGCUCUGUUACAUCCUGGGUCUGUACAUAGUCAAUGGUAGGCUUCGAGGGGACUCCUAUGGUCAGUACACCUAUAGCUCUGUUAC